rnacentral:rRNA from 1 species
UACAGAGGUCUCAAGCGUUGUUCGGAUUCAUUGGGCGUAAAGGGUGCGUAGGUGGCGGGGUAAGUCAGGUGUGAAAUCUCGAGGCUCAACCUCGAAACUGCACUUGAUACUGCCUUGCUGGAGUACUGGAGAGGAGAUUGGAAUUUACGGUGUAGCAGUGAAAUGCGUAGAUAUCGUAAGGAAGACCAGUGGCGAAGGCGAAUCUCUGGACAGUUACUGACACUGAGGCACGAAGGCCAGGGGAGCAAACGGG